rnacentral:rRNA from 1 species
AGUGAACGCUGGCGGCGUGCUUAAUACAUGAAAGUCGAACGAAGUGGCGCAAGGGUGAGUAAUAUAUAGCUAAUCUGCCCCUUGCAGGAGGACAAAAGUUAGAAAUGACUGCUAAUAUUCAAUAGCAAGGGAUGAGACUAUAUCGUAUCAGCAAGGAGGUGGGGUUAAGUCCUACCGGGGCUAGUACGCGUAAAUGGUCUGAGAGGAGCAUCAGUCACAUUGGAACUGAGACACGGUCCAAGCUCCUACGGGAGGCAGCAGUAGGGAAUAUUGCGCAAUGGGGGAAACCCUGACGCAGCACCGCUGCGUGGAGGAUGACACUUUUCGGAGCGUAAACUCCUUUUGUUAGGGAAGCGGUACCUAACGAAUAAGCACUGGCUAACUCCGUGCCAUCAGCCGCGGUAAUAC